rnacentral:rRNA from 1 species
UACGGAGGAUCCAAGCGUUUUCCGGAAUCAUUGGGUUUAAAGGGUCCGUAGGCGGUCUAGUAAGUCAGUGGUGAAAGCCCAUCGCUCAACGGUGGAACGGCCAUUGAUACUGCUGGACUUGAAUUAUUGGGAAGCAACUAGAAUAUGUAGUGUAGCGGUGAAAUGCUUAGAGAUUACAUGGAAUACCAAUUGCGAAGGCAGGUUGCUACCAAUUGAUUGACGCUGAUGGACGAAAGCGUGGGUAGCGAACAGG